UUUUCCUUACUUUCUGUGUGUUUUUUGUGGAUUAUUGUUCGUUUAGAGGAUUUAUCCUCACUGUUAUUAUUAAUUGAUGUUAUAUACGUAGUUUGUUGUUGUAAUUUCUUGUUAACUUAUUAAUAUAGUUUGUUAUCAUUAUGUUACUAUUUGUGUUUGUGUUAGUUUAGUGUUCAGAGACUUUAGAGCCUGUAAUAGAAUUUCAAUUUUGCUCAAAAGGUUAAUCUUUAAUAAAAAAAAAGAUGCCUGGUCUUCGAUGUGCAGUUUAUGGCUGCAAUAACAGUUUUGUUGGGGUAAAAGCCAAAGGGGAAGAUAUCAAAUUUUUUCCAUUUCCAAAAUCUAAUAAUUUAGUUUCACAAACAAUUUACAAGGAGUGGAUAAAUCGUUGUAAGAGGCAGGACAGUUUUAAUCCGAAUCAUAGCCGAAUAUGUUCUAUUCAUUUUACCAGUAAUGAUUUUGAGAGAGACCUGAAGAAUGAACUUUUAGGAUUACCUACAAAAAAAAUGUUAAAGAAAAUGGCUGUUCCCAGGAUGCAUUUGCCACUUCAGAGUAAAAAAA